GACGAACGCUGGCGGCGUGCUUAACACAUGCAAGUCGAACGAUGAACCCGGAGCUUGCUCCGGUGGAUUAGUGGCGAACGGAUGAGUAACACGUGAGCAACCUGCCCUUGACUCUGGGAUAACUGCGGGAAACUGUAGCUAAUACCGGAUACGACCCUCGGCGGCAUCGCCAGGGGGUGGAAAGAAUUUCGGUCAAGGAUGGACUCGCGGCCUAUCAGCUAGUUGGUGAGGUAGCGGCUCACCAAGGCGACGACGGGUAGCCGGCCUGAGAUGGUGACCGGCCACACUGGGACUGAGACACGGCCCAGACUCCUACGGGAGGCAGCAGUGGGGAAUGUUGCACAAUGGGCGCAAGCCUGAUGCAGCAACGCCGCGUGAGGGAUGACGGCCUUCGGGUUGUAAACCUCUUUUAGUAGGGAAGAAGCGAAAGUGACGGUACCUGCAGAAAAAGCACCGGCUAACUACGUGCCAGCCGCCGCAGUAA
rnacentral:rRNA from 1 species